CAUGCUUGUAAUCCUAGCACUCUGGGAGGAUGGCGAAGAAGGAUUCCAAGUUCGAGCCCAGCCUGGGCAACUUAGUGAGACCCUGUUCAAAAUUUUAAAAGGGCCAAAGAUAUAGCUCAGUCCUGGGUUUAAUCUCCAAUACUGAAAAAUAAAUAAAAUUGGUUCAACCUGACGUGGUGGUCCACAGGUAGUGGAUCACAAAUUUGAGCCCUGCUUGGUCAAUUCAGCUAUUUAGCAAGACCCCAUCUCAAAGAAUAAAAAUUUAAAAAGGGGAUGUAGCUCAGUGAUAAGGCCCUGGUUUAACCCCCUGUAGAGAGAAAAGUCAGGCGUGAUCACGCACGCCUAUCAUCCUAGCUAAAUGGAAGACUAAGGCAGGAGAAUCACAAGUUGGGGGGCCUGGGGAAUUUAGUGGGAGCCUGUCUCAAAUAAAAUUGGAAACACAACAGAGGAUGCUUUUUCCGCUUCAUUUCUGGAAGCCCCGCCUAUUCCGAGCAAGACGUCACUCAGGGAGCCUCCGUCUCCACGGCGACGGAAUGCAGCCUCGGAAAUCCCUGCGCAAGCGCAGAAAGAUUCCACUGGGGGGGAGGGGCGCGCCAGACCCGCCCCCUUACGCACAUUCAUCUACUGGGACUUCCCCACGGCCCCUUUCUGUGCCCGGUGUCCGCUCGCCCAGUUGACCGUCAGGCGCGAGUCUCUCUCUUUCUGAGGACCGUCCUCUCCUCACUAUGUGGCCUUCUUUGCCAGGAGGCGAUCGCGCAGACACAGAAGGCCCCAGGCCCGGCCGGCCCAGGCCCACCCGUUCGAUCGCAACCGUACACUCGAGUCUGCGCCGGGAAUGUCACACGCGCGGGGUCUCCUGGGAGCUCCCGCCCCGCCCCCUUGCGCGGUGCUGCCUGCGUUAUGCGCAGGCGCUCCUGGGAGCUCCCGCCCCGCCCACUGGCCCAGGUCCGCGAACUACGGCUCCCUGUAGGCAGUGCAGCGGCCUGGACCAGAGCCGGGGUCGCGACGGGCGGCCGGGUGGGCUCGGGCGCGGCGGGGCGGCCUGGCCUGGGUCCUGAGCAGCGGGACAGUCGGCUGACGACGAGGUGCAGGCUCAGCGCUGCCUGGUUACCCCGCGGCCCUGGGUCGAGCGCGCCGGAAAACUCUGGGGUUGGAUCGCUUGGUGCCCACGCCGAAGCUCUGCACGGUCGAGGCCAGUCUCUGGGGUCCAGGAGCCAGGGCUGCAGCCCGAGCCUCAAGGCGGGCCGGGACCGUGGACGACCGGACAGACUGGUUUGCUGCCUGCCCGCUUGGUUUGCUGUGUUCUGUGUUGGCAAUGGCUGCUAGCUUUCCACUGGAAAUCUUGGUGGCUGAGCGAAUUUGUGACCCAGGAAGUAACAAGUAAAUGCCUGGGAUGCUGACUGGAGGCUGCUGUGUGCUCUGAGGUGAGUUCUGAUUUCUCUGAAGCACAUUUGCUGACCAAGUCCUCGUACUCUGCUGGCCCCACAGUCUUUGUCGACAUUCGUAGCAAGCUGAGAGCCUCCAAAACCCAGACUAGCUAGCAAGUCCAGCAUUUCUGGCCAAGGAGACAUUGGGAACCCUGCGAGCCGGUUUGCACUUCGACGCUCGCGUGUGUGUUCGCUUCGGCAUUCAGCAUCCUGAAGUGUGAGGUGGCAGCUGUGUGCUUAGGAGAGGGGUGAAGGCCCCUGCUCUGCGGCUCCAGGUGAGGCCCUCCAUGUGCCUGGAGCUGGGAUUGCGGCAGCUCUCAGACCUUGCUGGACAGGGCAGUGCACACGGGGCUGGGCUGCGGUCCCACAAGGCUGUGGCUGUCUCCACGAGACUUCAGCAGGUCAGCUUAGAGUCCGAGGCCAGCCGCGGGGCUCUCCGCUUUCCCGAGGCCUCUGGCCCAGAGCUAACCAGCUUGCAGGGUGCUCAGGGCUCACAAGAACCUUCCUCUGUGCCUGGAGCUGUCAGGGUGAGGACAGGAGGGUGAGAGCGAGUGGCAGAGAGGCCUCCUGACCUCCAGGAAGGCCUGGCAUGUGGC
ensembl:lncRNA